rnacentral:rRNA from 1 species
ACAUGCAGUCGAGCGGACAGAUGGGAGCUUGCUCCCUGAUGUUAGCGGCGGACGGGUGAGUAACACGUGGGUAACCUGCCUGUAAGACUGGGAUAACUCCGGGAAACCGGGGCUAAUACCGGAUGGUUGUCUGAACCGCAUGGUUCAGACAUAAAAGGUGGCUUCGGCUACCACUUACAGAUGGACCCGCGGCGCAUUAGCUAGUUGGUGAGGUAACGGCUCACCAAGGCGACGAUGCGUAGCCGACCUGAGAGGGUGAUCGGCCACACUGGGACUGAGACACGGCCCAGACUCCUACGGGAGGCAGCAGUAGGGAAUCUUCCGCAAUGGACGAAAGUCUGACGGAGCAACGCCGCGUGAGUGAUGAAGGUUUUCGGAUCGUAAAGCUCUGUUGUUAGGGAAGAACAAGUGCCGUUCAAAUAGGGCGGCACCUUGACGGUACCUAACCAGAAAGCCACGGCUAACUACGUGCCAGCAGCCGCGGUAAUACGUAGGUGGCAAGCGUUGUCCGGAAUUAUUGGGCGUAAAGGGCUCGCAGGCGGUUUCUUAAGUCUGAUGUGAAAGCCCCCGGCUCAACCGGGGAGGGUCAUUGGAAACUGGGGAACUUGAGUGCAGAAGAGGAGAGUGGAAUUCCACGUGUAGCGGUGAAAUGCGUAGAGAUGUGGAGGAACACCAGUGGCGAAGGCGACUCUCUGGUCUGUAACUGACGCUGAGGAGCGAAAGCGUGGGGAGCGAACAGGAUUAGAUACCCUGGUAGUCCACGCCGUAAACGAUGAGUGCUAAGUGUUAGGGGGUUUCCGCCCCUUAGUGCUGCAGCUAACGCAUUAAGCACUCCGCCUGGGGAGUACGGUCGCAAGACUGAAACUCAAAGGAAUUGACGGGGGCCCGCACAAGCGGUGGAGCAUGUGGUUUAAUUCGAAGCAACGCGAAGAACCUUACCAGGUCUUGACAUCCUCUGACAAUCCUAGAGAUAGGACGUCCCCUUCGGGGGCAGAGUGACAGGUGGUGCAUGGUUGUCGUCAGCUCGUGUCGUG